rnacentral:rRNA from 1 species
AACGCGAAGAACCUUACCAGCUCUUGACAUGUCCCGUAUGAGUACCAGAGAUGGAACUCUUCAGUUCGGCUGGCGGGAACACAGGUGCUGCAUGGCUGUCGUCAGCUCGUGUCGUGAGAUGUUGGGUUAAGUCCCGCAACGAGCGCAACCCUCGCCCUUAGUUGCCAUCAUUUAGUUGGGCACUCUAAGGGGACUGCCGGUGAUAAGCCGCGAGGAAGGUGGGGAUGACGUCAAGUCCUCAUGGCCCUUACGGGCUGGGCUACACACGUGCUACAAUGGCGGUGACAAUGGGAUGCAGAGGGGUAACCCCGAGCAAAUCUCAAAAAGCCGUCUCAGUUCGGAUUGUGCUCUGCAACUCGAGCACAUGAAGUUGGAAUCGCUAGUAAUCGCAGAUCAGCACGCUGCGGUGAAUACGUUCCCGGGCCUUGUA